CCUACGGGAGGCUGCAGUGGGGAAUAUUGGACAAUGGGCGAAAGCCUGAUCCAGCCAUGCCGCGUGUGUGAAGAAGGCCUUCGGGUUGUAAAGCACUUUCAGUGGGGAAGAAAGCCUUGGGGCUAAUACCCUCGAGGAAGGACAUCACCCACAGAAGAAGCACCGGCUAACUCCGUGCCAGCAGCCGCGGUAAUACGGAGGGUGCGAGCGUUAAUCGGAAUUACUGGGCGUAAAGCGCGCGUAGGCGGUCUGAUAAGCCGGUUGUGAAAGCCCCGGGCUCAACCUGGGAACGGCAUCCGGAACUGUCAGGCUAGAGUGCAGGAGAGGAAGGUAGAAUUCCCGGUGUAGCGGUGAAAUGCGUAGAGAUCGGGAGGAAUACCAGUGGUGAAGGCGGCCUUCUGGACUGACACUGACGCUGAGGUGCGAAAGCGUGGGUAGCAAACAGGAUUAGAUACCCUAGUAGUC
rnacentral:rRNA from 1 species